ensembl:lncRNA
CCUCCAUGGUGGCCUGGAGCCCAAAGAGGGGUCAGUGGGUUUCCCUCAAGUGUCCCGUGCCAGCAUGUCCUCCACAUUAGCCAAUACAAUAUCAUGUUUGUUUCAGAUGUUUCUAAUAGUGAUUCAGUAUUUUUACAGAUUAUACUCCUUUCUUCCGUGUAAUGUUUUAUAAAUUGGUCCACCUCUUGGGGAAUUUUGUGGCUAACUUGAACCAGUUACUCCUUCCCCUUCUUUUCAUUAGCCUUAGUCUCCAAAGAUGCAAUCCCUAAAUCUCACUGAAUUGGGUGACAGUCACAAUAGCAACAAGGCAGACAACAAGUUUUCACAGCAUUUGUUCAGAUCCCUGAUGCUUAAAGUGGUAUGUGACGACUCUCUGUGUCUCUGGGACCAAAAGUGAUAGAGAUUGAGUAGAAUGAUCAAAUAGUUAGCUUAGAAACCCCAUUAGGGAAGCUCCCAUUGGAGAUAGAGAAAGGGUAAGACUAAUGAUCACUUAAAGGUGUAAUGGGAAAAUUCUGAAACAAUGUGGGCUUGCUUGACUCAUAAAGCAGAACAAAUCGCUGAGCAUCAAAGCCAGAUUGGCUUGCUUAAUUAAUCAAGCUAACUUGCUUAGAAACUGUCGACUAAAAAAUAUAGUCACAACCUGAAAAUAGAGAGUUAUUUUAUUUGGUGGUAAUGUUUAGGACGGAGAAGGCAGUGGCACCCCACUCCAGUACUCUUGCCUGGAAAAUCCCAUGGACGGAGGAGCGUGUCGCUGAGGUUUGGACACGACUGAACGACUGAACGACUUCACUUUUCACUUUCAUGUGUUGGAGAAGGAAAUGGCAACCCACUCCAGUGUUCUUGCCUGGAGAAUCCCAGGGACCGGGUAGCCUGGUGGGCUGUCGUCUAUGAGGUCUCACAGAGUCGGACACGACUGAAGUGACUUAGCAGCAGCAGCGAUGUUUCGGACUCCAGCGUAGGAGACAGUAUCUCAGUAGCUCUGAGAAAACUGCUCCAGGGAGAUAGGAGGGGAAGUCAGGCUGUAUGCAACAAAGGGAGCAGGCAGUCAAAACAUCAAAGGUCAGAUAUUAAGUUAAGGAAUUUAGCAUCCUGUGUAUGGGAAGAUUCAAGCCUCUGGGCUUACUGAAUUCAUUCUUUUCAUAUGCACCUCAGCUACCUGGUGGGGGGCGAAUCCUAUUUCCUUAUUCGCCUUGUUUCUUGCAUUCCCUCCGCUCCUCAGCAGUCACUGUGGGGACUGGCAGCACGCACUAGAUUGCAGUUUUGGGUGCCCUCAUUCACUUUUGGAGGCCGGAAAUCACUGAUGGCUGUGACAUUUCUUCUUUAUUAAUAUGGCAGGUGCGUGCUAAGUCGCUUCAGUCAUGUCUGACUCUUUUUGACUGGAUGGACUAUAGUGCUGGGUUCCAGCCCCUGCAGGAUCCAGGGAAACCCGAAGGAGAAACGGUGUCGGCGAUUGCGAUCGAUGUAGAGAGAGAAAGAUAGUUAAGAAUGUGGUAGAUAAGAAAAUAGAGGAGAGAAGAAAAGAGGCUGAUGUUCCUUGGUUUAUACAGAAAAUCAAUAAAGUCUCAAGACAAGAGACUUGCACCGUCUAUGUGAGGCCACAGGUGCCCUCCUGGUCUCCCAACGGAGUGAAGGCACAAGGCGCCUUCCCGUUCAGGUCUUAGAAACCCAGGCAAAUAAGUAGACACGGUGGAUCUCUGUACUCCAGAUGGGAACUAGCCUGAAAGACAGAGUAAGAGGAGGAAAAUGAUUGACACAAGGAGAUCAAGCUGUUUUGAUGAGCGAGAUCCAUAGCUUUAGUUUUAAAUGGUACUUCUAUACUUUUUUUGUACAUAGAGGGAAAUGAAAGAUGCAAGGUCAUACAGAGUCAGCCCAACAUUCUAGCAGUUUUGCCCUUAUUGAAACCAUGAUUUUUUCUGCAUACCUUUCUCACAAAUGAUGUUGUGUACAGCAUCUUCUGGCCUUGGAGGCCUGUGAACAUUUUUUGACCCUCUUUUGAUAAAGACUGCUCAACCAGAAAACUUAUUUUCCCUCAAAGUGUUUUUUCUUUAUAUUUCUAAUCUAUGUCAGUCUCAGAAAAUGCCAAACAGAGUUACGUAUUUUACAGAGCAAAGGCGCAGUGAGUUACAAGAAAGAACCAAUUAGCUCAAAAGUCUGAUACGGUUAAAUUCAAGGCUACAUGUGUUUUUCUUGCAUUCUCACUAUGUUAACUAAUGCAUUCCCAGGUGCACAGUGGAUAAGAGAUAUGGGAACUUAGCAACAUCAUUGGCCCAAUAAUGAAAUCCUACAUCAGCACUAGCACUACUCUAAUAACUUUUAACUCUUUCAAAGGCUCUAUGUUUUAGGCUUUCCAUGCGUCUCACAGUUGGGAGGGUGUAAAUAAUUGUAUGCAUAGCUGCAAGAGUCUGGAUAACCUGCCAAGUAAGCUAGAAUGCUAAUAGAGGGGGUUUGAUUUGAAAUAUUUCUCUCAUGUCCAGGAGACUUAUUAGCUAUAGCCCUAAGUUGAUUUUCUCCAGAGAAAGGUGGUCAGGGUUAGCCCCCUGUUAAUGUCAGAGGAGUUGGUGAAAGUCAUGAAACAGUAAAACAGACAGAUUCUGGUUUUGGGGUAGAUGCUCGAGAAAGCCUAGGGAGCCCCUUGAGUUCUGAAGCCUUGCUUAACAGUGGGAUCUCCCGUGGUGGCUCCUGGCACUAUAGCCCUCCAGGCUCCUCUGUCUGUGGGAUUCUCUAAGCAAGAAUACUGGAGUGGGUUUCCAUGCCCUCCUCCAGGGGAUCUUCCUGACCCAGGGACUGAACCUGUGUCUCUCAUGUCUCCUGCAUUGGCAGGCACGUUCUUUACCACUAAUAUUUUCAUUUCACACAACCAAACUAUGCACCAGAGUAGGAAAAAUGCCCCCAAACAAUAAAAGGCUGGUGGCGUGAGACCUACAUCCUGUCCAGUGGCACUGCCAAGUUAAUGAACCGCAAAACAUGCUCUGUGCACACAGAAGAAGAGUCAUUUAUGGAAAGGUGACUUUUAAAAAUGAAAGACCCUUAUUGUACAGAGACCAGAAAAUAUUUUUCCAAAGUGUUAUCUAUGACAGUUGUGACCUGACCAUAUAGGGACAAGUACACUUUCCUGCCUUACCUGAAGAAGGGACUGAUAAGGAAACUGAUGUCUACUCGAGAAAUACAAAAAAGAUCUCUCCCUCCCCUCCCUUUCUUUGAUUAUAAAAAUGUAACCCACUGAGAACUUGGGAAACGCAAAGCUUGCUUGCAUCCUUAUCCUUGUGAACCCUACAGAGGUGCUAUUCUAAUAAAUCACUUUUUAUCUAUCACUUUGUCUCUUGCUGAAUUCCUUUCUGCGUUGAGUUAUAAAGGACUGUGGUGCCAUGAAAACUACACCAAACGGUUUCAGGUGGUGACCGCAGCAGGACCGUGGUAAGAUAAAAAGGUUGGAGUCAGGUCCUAGAAGGGUUGUGGGUCGCCACAGGCCAGGAAUAUCAAGGAAGAUGCUCUGCCACAGCCGACUGCAAUUUCCAGCCUCAAAUGCUUUGGGGCUCUGAUUGGAUACAGACAGGCCAGAGGAAGGAUGAUACGGAUAUGGAUAUUUAAGACAGGAAAUUGGAAGAAUUGUGACGGUCAGCAUGGAUUGCCAUAGAAUGGUGGUGUGGCGAUGUGGAAGGGAUCUAAUCGCUGGUUCAGGAGAUGCCGGAGAAGGCAUAUGAAAAGGAAAGAAUUUCACUCCCCGGCUUGCUUUGGCCAGGUUCAAGUCCUGGCAGCACACAAACAUAAAAAGACUUUGCAAAAGGAUGCUGUGCAUAUCCAACCGCCAAGUCUGGAAUAAAGUCAGAUGCUACAUGGUGUUACAGGAUUUACCAAUCUAUACUCUUCUCUUUUACUCUGAGGUUUUCCUGCUAUGCUUUAUAGCUGUUUCUGUUUCAUUUCUUUUAACUCCAAAAGACCUGUAUGAUCACUGAGAUAUAAUAAUUCAUCCUUCUCUGUCAGUUUACGUGGAAUGCCCAACGGAGGACCUACCAGGUCCUGAUGUCAGUCUUUUUCCUCCCUCUGGCUCUUGAAAAUGUUAACUGUUUUUUUUUCUGACUUGCCGCUAGACUGGUUCCAGGUUGUCGUCUGAGGACCACUGGGGAUCUCUUCCGUACUACGCCUUUGUGGCAAUUUCUUGGCCACUAACAUCUGGUUGGAAGACUGCUUUGGAAGCGAUACCAUCUACCACUUACAUACUUUCACUUAGGUCGUGUCUGAUGCUUUGUGACCCCAUGAACUGCAGCACGCCAGGCUUCCGUAUCCUUCACUAUCUCCUGGAGUUUGCUCAAACUCAUGUUCAUUGAGUCAGUGAUGCAAUCCAACCAUCUCAUCCUCUGCCGCCAUCUUAUCCUUUUUUAUUCAAUCUUUCCCAGCAUCAGGGUCUUUUCCAGUGAGUCGGCUCUUCGCAUUAGGUGGCCAAAGUAUUAGCGAAGGGUGUAUAUUGUAUAUUGUAUAUUUCACCCUUCACCUGCAGCAUCAGUACUUCCAAUGCAUAUUCAGGGUUGAUUUCCUUUGGGAUUGACUGGUUUGGUCUUACUGUCCAAAGACUCUCAAGAGUCUUCUCCAGGACCACAGUUUGAAAGUAUCAAUUCUUUGGCACUCAGUCUUCUUUCUGGCCCAACUCUCACAUCCAUCCAUAACUAACUACUGGUAAAACCACAGCUUUGAGUAUAUGUACCUUGGUCGGCAAAGUGAUGUCUUUGCUUUUUAAUAUGCUAUCUAGGUUUGGCAUAAUUUUCCUUCCAAGGAGUAAAGUCUUAUAAUUUUAGUCACCAUCUGCAGUGAUUUUGGAUCCCAAGAAAGUAAAAUCUGUCACUGCACCCCGUUUUGCCCCAUCUAUUUGCCACGAAGUGAUGGGACCAUAUGCUAUGAUCUUAGUUUUUUGAGUGUUGAAUUUAAGCCAGCUUUUUCAAUCUCCUCUUUCACCUUCAUUAAGAGGCUCUUUGGUUCUUCUUCGAUUUCUGCCAUUAGAUUGAGGUCGUUGAUAUUUCUCCCAACAAUGUUGAUUCCAGCUUGCCCUUCAUCCAGCCCAGCAUUUAGCAUGAUGUAUUCUGCAUGGAAGCUAAAUAAACAGGGUGACAAUAUACACCCUUGCUGUAUUCCUUUCCUAAUUUUGAACCAGUCAGUUGUUCCAAGUACAGUUCUAAUGGUUGCUUCUUGACCCACAUACAGAUUUCUCAGGAGGCAGGUAAGGUGGUUUGGUAUUCCCAUCUCUUUAAGAAUUUUCCAGUUUGUUGUGAUGCAUAGUCAAAGGAUUUAGUGUAGUUAAUGAAGCUGAAGUAGAUGUUUUUCUGAAAUUCCCUUGUUUUUUCUAUGAUCCAAUAAAUGUUGGCAAUUUGAUUUCUGGUUUCUCUGCCUUUUCUAAACAAGCUUGUACAUCAGGGAGUUCUCAGUUCACAUACUGUUGAAGUUUAGCUUGAAGAAUUUUGAGCAUAACCUUACUGGCAUGUGAUAUAAGAGCAAUUAUACAGUAGUCUGAACAUUUUUUGGCAUUGCCUUUCUUUGGGAUUGGAAUGAAAACUGACCUUUUCCAGGCCCGUGGCCACCGCUAAGUUUUCCAAAUUUGCUGGCGUAUUGAGUACAGCACUUUAACAGCAUCAUCUGUUAGGAUUUGAAAUAGCUCAACUGGAAUUCCAUCACCUCCACUAGCUUUUGUGUGUAGAACCGCCUCACACACAAAUGCCAAGAGUCUCACACCCAGUCCCACGGCGUUUAGGGCAGGGGAUAGAGUCCUAGAUGUAGAGGUCUGAUAAAAGAAUCCACCUGGGUAGGGGGUAUGCAUGGACUCUGAAUUGGUUUGCUUGCAUAUCAAAGUUUUGCUGGCAGGCAUGUUGUUAGCAACACUGAUUCAAAAGACUUGAGUUUGAGCAAACUGGAAGAUAGAGGAGGACAAAGGAGCCUAGCAAGCUGCAGUCCAUGGGGGUCACAGAAUCGACAUGAUUUAGCGACUGAACAACAACUGAAUUUUUUGUCUCCGAUUUAGUUAACCCUGGAGAGUGGGUCCCCACUGUCCACAAAUGGAUCAGGAGUACAUUAAAUAAGAUAGGACAGUUAACACAACUGACUCUGUUGUACUCAAGCAUUUCUUAGAGUUUUGGUGGUAAGGAUACAAAAAAUGAACAAGUUUUAGAGAGCUGCUGGGCAACAUUGUGCCUACAAAUAAAAAUGUAGUAUUGUAUACUGGUGAAGGGGUUUCCCUGCUGGUUCAAACUAUUGCACAGUUGCACUCGUCUCACACGCUAUGCAAGUAAUGCUCAAAUUCUCCAAGCCAGGCUUCAACAGCAUGUGAAUCGUGAACUUCCAGAUGUUCAAGCUGGAUUUAGAGAAGACAGAGGAACCAGAGAUCAAAUUGCCAACAUCUGUUGGAUCCUAGAAAAAGCAAGAAAGUUCCAGAAAAACAUCUACUUCUGAUUUAUUGACUAUGCCAAAGCCUUGGACUGUGUGGAUCACAAUAAACUGUGGAAAUUUCUGAAAGAGAUGGGAAUACCAGACCACCUGACCUGCCCCCUGAGAAAUCUGUAUGCAGGUCAAGAGGCAACAGUUAGAACUGUGUGUGGAACAACACACUGGUUCCAAAUUGGGAAAGGAGUACAUCAAGGCUGUAUAUUGUCAUCCUGCUUAUUUAACUUCUAUGCAGAGAGUGGGAUUCCGUUAUAGCUCAGUCGGUAAAGAAUCUGCCUGCAAUGCAAGAGACCCAAGUUCGAUUCCUAGGUCGGGAAGAUCCCCUGGAGAAGGAAAUGGCAAACUACUCCAGUAUUCUUGCCUGGAGAAUCCCAUGGACAGAGGAGCCUGGCAGGCUUAUGGGAUCGCAAGAGUCAGACAUGACUUAGCGACUUAACCACUGCUACUACUACUAUGCAGAGAGUAUUAUGCGAAAUGCCAGGCUGGAUGAAGCACAGGCUGGAAUCAAGAUUGCUGGGAGAAAUAUCAAUAACCUCAGAUAUGCAGAUGACACCACUCUUCUGGUGGUGGCAAAGAAGAACUAAAGAGCCUCUUGAUGAAAGUGAAAGAGGAGAGUGAAGAAGCUGGCUUACAACUCAAUAUUCAUAAAAAGGAAGAUCGUGGCAUCUUGUCCCAUCACUUCAUGGCAAAUACAUGGGGAAACAAUGGAAACAGUGAGAGACUUUAUUUUCUUGGGCUCCAAAAUCACUGCAGAUGGUGACUGCAGCCAUGAAAUUAAAAGAUGCUUGCUCCUUGGAAGAAAAGUUAUGACCAACCUAGAUAUAAUAUUAAAAAGCAGAGACAUUACUUUGCCAACAAAGGUCAUCUAGUCAAAGCUAUGGUUUUUCCAGUAGUCAUGAAUGGAUGCGAGAGUUGGACUAUAACGAAAGCUGAUCACCGAAUAAUUGAUGCUUUUGAAAUGUGGUGUUGGAGAAGACUCUUGAGAGUCCCUUGGACAGCAAGGAGAUCCAACCAGUCAA